rnacentral:lncRNA from 1 species
GGCAAUCCUGGAAAGGUAGCUGGUUCUAGAAUCUCUUGGACCUUGAGAGUCUAUGGAGGAAGUCGGUAUGCACCUGAGGAUUGGGCCCGAGCAACAGUGCUUUGAAGUGUGUGACUUAGUUUAUAAAGUUCUUGGUGGUAAGGAAUUGGUCAGAUUGCCAUAAAAUUCACACACACACACACACACACACACACACACACACACACACACGGAGGCUGACUAUUGAGAACGCCAUGUAACGUUCAAUAUGGAAGCUGUCUCUGUUGUGUGACAGUGAGACUUCUUCUGGCUUUAUCUUAAUGUUACCUUAACUGGAAGUAAGUAAACAAAGCGAUUAAAAUACUUUAUUAAACAUUGCCCAUGCUGGUCUGAGCAGCAUUUUAGGCGAAUUAUCUCAUUAUUAUUUGAAGCAAUGAAGUUUCACCCUAGAAAAUAGUCACAGCGAUGGAGUGCAAAGGACCAUCAAAUACCAGUGUGUAAGAGUGCUCUUAGUUACAAUCAUAGAAUGCUUGUACUUUGGGGCGGGGAUGUUUAAGGAUUAGGUGAUUCACGAGCAAGCUAUUAGAACACUGUUUUUAUUGGUAAUCAGGUGUAUCUAAGUCCAUGGCACUGUUGGAUAGUGAGUGGCGGGUUUAGAGGCAAAGCUUCAUUUGGCAAAAGAAAGCAGGUCAUGGGAGAUCUUAUGCAUUGGGGCAGAGUCACUUGAUGUGAAAGGCCAGCAAAAAACUUGGGAUUUUUGGCAGCUUACCUAGGCUUCAGGCAAACGUGGAUACACCCUCAUUUGUAAUAGCUUGAGGUUCUGUAAGUAUACAUGCCCUCAUACAAACAUAGAAACAUAGAAAAUCAUAUGUGUUCAGCAAGAGAGAAAAUACUGAUAGAUACAGAGUAACACUGCUAAUUCUUACCUAGGUAGGUCGUGAAAACAUUUUAAAAUAGAGACACUAUCUAGUUCCAUAUAAGGAAGAUUAUUGGAAAGGUAAUUUAAAUUGUAAGUAGCUUUGUACUCCAAAAUGGGGGAUUCAUUUGAAACUAUGCUUUAUUUCUUUUGGAAGCCAGACAACUAGUUUAAUAGUGUACAUAUGAAACGCUAAUUUGCCUUGUUAAUUGGAUGCAAUUAAAUUGAGGUUAUUUUAACUUCUUAAUUGUCUGAAAAUUACAUGUGUUGCCAUGCCUCUGCAGUGGAAGGCAAGAGCCAGGGAAGGUAUAGCGGAGUAUAGUGCGCAAAGGCUUGGCUCUGUCUUUGCAGGGAACUUUUUGUGACAACCUGGAAGCCAGACAUCCCAGCUCUCCGGACUUCAUUUGGAAAGGAAAGUGAUUGGGACAGAUGGCUUCUCGAGCCUCUUCCAACGCAUAGUCUGCAUAUUCUAUCAGUUUAAAAAUUCUACUUCGUCGUUAGAGGGGAUGCAAUGUCAUUUUAUUCUGCAAUUAUGGUAUUACCAGACUGGAAAAGAAAAACACUUAAAAAAUUGGCCCAGGGCCAAUUUAGCAAAUAAGUGAGGAGGACAGGAUUGGAGGUUUACAGAGCUCUUGUCCUAUGACAGGCCCCAUAGCAGGUACUACUGCCUGCUUGUGAUCUCACCAGUACCAGGAGACAGUUUGGUGUUACUAUCUCUGUGUUUACAGUAGAGGAACUGAGUCAUUAGUGGAGCAGGGUUUGAACUCAAGGCUCAGUGCCAAUCCAUGGGGUGUGAUUGUGAGUCUUUCAAAAAUAAAUAUAUAUAUAUAAAGUCCAACCAUUUUCACCACUGAGUACAUGGGUUCCCUCAGCAACCUCUGGCCACACCCCAGGGAUCCAGUGAAGAUCGAAUGCUUCAGGAACCUGGAUUUGAGAUCAGAACAGGGUGAAAUCUACUCAACUGCCCCGAGGUUAUGAAAGGAGGGAAUAUCUGAUGGAGGGUCAUCUAGAAACUUUGGUGGGAACAUAUGCUCUAAUCUCCUUGAGCUCCUGGAGAGGGAGAGUACCAGGCAGCUGUGGUUAUUUUUAAGGGAGAUUACUCUGAAAUAAAAACACAAAAAGAAGUCAAAUUGUUGUGACAGUACAAUAUUCCUGAGAUAUUUUCAAAUGGUCUGUUAGAUUCUUGAUUGAAAUGGUUUAGGAAACAAUGUCAUAAUGUACCGGGCUUCACCGGUUAACAAAUGGACCCGCCAGUUAAGAUCUUGGAUAGGUCUCAUUCAGCUCAGCCCGUGUGCUGUACGAGUGAAGUGAACGGAAUUCUCUGGUGUGGGAAGGUUUUGGUCUAAAAAUAGCCCUUGGUGCCUGAAUUACCCAGUUUGAACCUUUGCCUAAGUCUCAAUAUCUGGGGAAGCAGUGUUCACCCCUGAGGCCUUAGGUCUCCUUAAGAGACACCACGGGGGCAUUUGGGGGGGCUACUGACUUUAAAAUGCUUUCCUUAUUAAUUUAGCAAAUAUUGGUGAUCUGAAAAAAGGUGGUGGUCUAGACAUGGAGGCAUCACCCGGGAACAGAAUAGUAAAAAGAGGGCCUUGGUCCUUAGACAGUUUGCUUUCUACUAGACAGAUUUAGAAGUGUUUUCUGGCAAAUUCAGUUACCGUGCUACAUUUUUUUCAAGGUGUUCAAUAAUUCCUGCUUGCAUAAUGAGUCUCUUAGCCCUAAUGGGACUUAAACAAACACUGAAAGAUCACUUAACUCACUCCUGAAAUAUCCCAUUCAUUUAAACAUGUGCAUUUAUAUACAUAUAUGUAAACAUAUACACAUAUAACCAUGUAUACUUAUAAAACUAUUUACUUUUAAUUUUUUGAGGUUUGAGUGUAUAAAACAGCACCAAACAUAGGGUCCUGUCC